CUUAAAGACAGUGCUGGGAAUGAAACCUUGAUCUUACAGCUGGUACAGUAAAGCUAUGUGCUAUCCAUGAGGGGAGAAACACCCAGUGGUCAUGAUCCAUGUUGGUACCAAGAGCACCUGAAGAUCUAUGAAAGAAGUUCUGCUGCAGGAGUGUGAGCAGCCAGAGUCCCAGUUAUAAAGCAGAACCACUGAGCUAAUGAUCUCCAGAUCACAACCUGAGCCAAUUUAAACUGGCAUUAGGUCAAGAAGGUGCAGCUCAAAGAUUAGUGUAGAAGUGGAUGUGAAUUCUUGGGACACUGCCAUCAGGGAGAGGAGAAACUGUUUUGUUGAGCUGGGCUCUGGCAAGCCUGGUGAAUGCAAUAAUUAGAGCUACAGAAAGGACUUCAAACAAAAUAAUUUUGGGGCAAGGUUCAGGCAGAGUGGAAAUAUAGAAAGUUGAAGAAAAAGGUCAAGGUGCAGGUGUUGCUCAGAAUGGAGGCUAGUGACUAGUGGCGUGCUGCAGGGAUUGUCAUGACCCCUGCUUUUUGUUAUUUAUACCAAUGAUUUGGAUGCAAAGACACAACUUUGAUCGGAAAAUAAAGAAAUACACCAGAAUUUAUGAAAAACACUACACAAAGGCUGACAAAUAAAAGUAAUUCCAGUAAAAUGGCAGUACGCUUGGACGCAGUGGACUCUCUGCAGUCAACCAAAGCACUCAGGCUUCAAGACACAAGAAAUGGCCAAGAGUGAAAACAAUUUCACUAUUUGAAUGAGUUAGGACCUACAAAGAAUGUGAAGGUAUCAACAAUCAUCUUGAAUGUUACAAAGAAAAUGAAGAGUUGGAGGAUGCAAUCAUCAAAAGGAUUGUAUGAUGGCAGUCCAUUAUCUACAAUACAUGUCUGCACUGAUUUUGUUCAUUUACAAUCUAUCAAAAGAACACAGCAGCGUAUACUUGAUUAAUUCCUCCACUGAUAACUAUUAGGAACUAACAGACAGCUUUAUAAUACUGUAGUGUUCUAAUUUAUUCUGUAUUCUAUUUAAAUGCAUAAUCUGUUACUCAGUUAAAUGGUAGUUUGUCUUUUUUUAUACCUUUUUAGCUACUUCUAUAAAACUUACACUAAUUGGGGUAGCCGUUUAAUUCAGUCAUAAAUGUACUGGUCCUGAUGUGUCCCAAUUAACUGGAAUUCACUCUACUUUGAUUUGUGAAGGCCAUUGUGCCAAAUGUUUUUUAUGAUUCUAUCUCUCAGUGACUUCAAUUUUCAGGAAUUAAAGAUCUGUAUUCCCAGAUCCCUCUGUUCUGCCACACUCCUCAAUACUGUUCACUGUGUAAGUCUUACCCUGGUUUGUCCUCCCAAGUGCAGCACCUCACACUUAACUACAUUAGAUUCCAUCUGCCAUUUUUCAGCCCAUUUUUCCAGCUGGUCCAGAUCUCUAUGCAAGCUUUGACAGCUUUCCUAUUAGAGCUAAUCUUGGUGUCAUCUACAGUACAGGUCAUCACAUAAUCCACAGUCUAGGGCCUAUUUUGAGACUAGUGGACACUGAUGCAGCUGAGCUGAAUCCAAGACAAGAAGAAUGAUAUUUUAAAUGAUGUUUUUUUGUUGAUGUUUUAUUAAAUUUAUUUUGAUUCAAAAAUCAAACAAGUGGUGAGCACUCGGUGACAAUGUCUGGCACUUGAUUGUUCUGCUGCCAUAGCCCAGGUCAAUUAUAUUGUCCGAUCCAGGUACUUGGAUGUUCCAACGUGCUCGUCCUUGGGCUGUCUACUAGUGAUAAGGAAAGGAUAGGAAAGUGGUAUCCAUUGAAGUCAAGGCUCAGAUUUAGUUUUUUUUUAGGUUCGUAGUGAUGGUUUUGGGACAGAGAGAGUAGCUAGGGGUCAGGUUUGUGUUUAGGGAUAGGGAUGUGGGGGGAUUUGAGGUCAGGCCGGAAAAUAAGCCUUUUUGAUAUACAACUGAUAAAUAAAUCUGAAUCUUAAAUCUUAAAAUAUGUGAACUGCUCAAGCAAGCGUGAGCACUGAAAGCCAGGGGAAGAUUUGGCAAACACUGCAUAAACUGAAUGGGAUGAAGAAUUUACAGCAUCCAGUUACAUACCUCCCACAGAGGCUGAGCAGACAAGGAUCCCCAGUGUUUAACAGAACUGUACAAUAUAACCAGUCCUAUGGUGGUUUUAUCAUCGUGAAAUACCUCAAGGCACUUCACUUGAGUCCAUACAUAACACCAUGUAAGUAACACUUUUAAAAGCCUUCCUAUCUCAUUCUAACACAUUCGGAAAUGUAUGCAUGUACACUGACAGCACUAUUACUUUCCUGCACUUCAAAAAUUCUACAACAUAAACUAUCUUUUUCAAUUGUUCUAAUAGAGCAAUGCAUUUUGAGAAGUCAAUUAGUUAGACAUAUACAGUGAAUGACAGGGCACUGAUGAAUGUUAGAACACAGAGACUUGGGAUCUAAGGGUAUAGUUUCCAGAACACAGAUGGAUAGGGUAGUGACAAUGCCAGGAUUUUCUUUUUUUUAUAAGAUAAAUGAAAGCUCUCAUAGAGCCAACCUUGAUGGGGCACUAUCAGUACAGAUGCCAACGCAGUUCCUCCAAGACCAACCUUUUGUUUCCAGAAAUGAAGACAAAACUAAAUAUAUCUUGGCCUUUGCUUGUUUCCAGCAGCUCUUUGCAACAGAAAAAGUAUUCUUGAAUUUCACCAUCAUUUACAAAUGCUACAACUUGACAUUUAUUGGUGAAAUCUGUUGACUCAUCAACCUGGAUAGAGAAGUUGUAGUUUUUCAGUUUAUCACACAAAACCUCUUCAGCAUCAUGUGACAUGUCAUCAAUGCGUCGACUUCUCGUGCUGUUUGAGAGUGAAACUUUUUCAAUUUUGCAUACUGCAUCUUGUCUUAACGCAGGGUUAAUAAAAUAUAAAAAAAGAACAGCAUAACAAAUAACUAAACAAGAAAAUGGCAAAAAAUACGAAAACCACAAUGCAAUUAAUUUCUAACCUACACAAUCCACUUUUUGUAACAUUUAGAACAGCAAAGCCCCAGGCCAGCAGUUGAGUUGUGGCGCAUAAAAAUUUCUUUCCAAGAAUGAAAAUUUCCUUCCAAUUUUCUACUACACCAGUAGAGUUUGUUCGCUCCCAUAAGUCAGUUGGUAGCACAUAAGGGAAAGUUUGGGGAGGUAAUUCAGGAGGAAGAAGCUGAUGUCACAACCCAAGUUAGGCAAGUCCAUUUGAUUCUCAGAAAAUGCUCUCCACUCUCCUCAUCAGCCUUCUGUCCUUCCCUCUGUACAAUACAGCACUCACUAUUUAUCAGCCUACUGUCCUCUCCUCCAUGCAAUACAGUGCUCACCAAUUAUCAGCCUACCGUUCUCCCUCUAUGCAAUACAGCACUCACCAAUUAUCAGUCAUUUCGUGGAGAUGAAAUGAAAAAAGUUCUGGAUUAUGCUACAAGAAUGGUUAACUUUAAUAAACAAAGACCAGUUCACUCGAGAAUGUUUAAAAAACUGUGACCUGGACAACACCCAUCUCCUGCUACAUAUAGAAAUCUGGUAGUUUAGCAGAGGAAAAGUUCUCAAAAUAGUGUUUGAGAUGAAAGGUGAAUUGCAGGAGUACUUUCAAGAAAAUAGUAGGCCAGAUUUUGCCGAGUGCUUUGAAGAUGAAGAAUGGUUGCAGAAACUAGCCUAUUUAGCAUACAUUUUUCAUCAUAUGAACCAGUUGAACAAAUCUCUGCAAGGUCUUGAAGAAAAUGUUUCGACUUCAAGUGACAAGAUUCUUGGAUUUAAAAGGAAACUGAACAUAAGGCUUCUGUAUCUUCUUCCUGAAGGCUGCAGCAAGAAGAGAGCAUGUAUGCCUGGAUGAUGGUGGUUCUUGAUGAUGGAUGCUGCUUUCCUGUAGAUAUGCUCAAUGAUGGGGAGGGUUUUACCCGUGAUGCACUGGGCUGCAUCCACUACUCCUUGUAGGCUUUUCCAUUCAAGGGCAUCGGUGUUUCCAUACCAGGCUGUGAUGCAACCAGUCAGUAUAUGCUCCACUGUGCAUCUACAGACAUUUGUCAAAAUUUUAGAUGGCAUGGCUUAUCUCUGCAAGCUUCCAAGGAAGUAGAGAAGCUGCUGUGCUUUAUUUGUAAUGCCAGCUACAUGCUAGACUCAGGAUAGAUCCUCUGAAAUGAAAACACCAAGAAAUUUAAAGAAUUUAAAAUUGCUGACCAUCUCCACCUUUGAUUUCCUGAUGGGGCUGGCUUAUGGACCUCCAGUUUCCUCCUCCUGUAGUUGAUAAUCAGCUCUUUGGUUUUGUUAAUAUUGAGUGAGAUGUUGGCACCAUUCAGACAGACUUUCUAUCUUCCUCCUACAUGCUGAUUUGUCACCACCUUUGAUUCAGCCCACAACAGUGGUGUCACCAGUAAACAUGAAUAUAGCUUUGGAAAUGUGCUGAGUCUUCACAGUCAUUAGUAUACAGUGAGUAGAGCAGGGGGCUAAGCACACAGCCUUGUGGUGCAUCUGUGCAGAUGGUGAUAGUGCAUGUUCACAAAGUGCAGACCUGCCAAUUUCUACCUUGGUGAACACAGAUGUGAACUUCCCAGUGUUCACCAUUACUCUCUGCCUUGGCCAAUUUAAGAUAAAGAUUAGCUUUAUUUGUCACAUGUAUGUCAGAACAUAGUGAAGUGAACUGUUUACAUCAAUGACCAACAUAGUCCGAGAAUAUGCUGAGGGCAGCCCACAAAUGUCGCCAUACUUCCGGCGCCAAAACAGCAUGCCCUCAGUUUACUAACCCUAAUCCUAAUCAAUUUACUAACUCUAAUCUGAAUGUGGGAGUAAACCAGAGCACCCGGAGGAAACUCACAGAGAGAAUGUACAAAUGCCUUACAGACAGCAAUAGGAAUUGUACCCUGAUCUUACUGCUGGUGCACUGUAAUGUACUGUGCUAACUGCUACACUUACAUGUGGGCAUGAAUAUUAACAAAGACAUGUAUAAGUAAUGUUACUGAAACUGCCUUCCAAUAGUUCAUAAGCCCCACAUUAACUUUCAUACUGUCGUCAAGGCUCUGAGAUCUGACUGAACUAUUUAAAUACGUUUGCCAGACACCGUUUGCAUCAAACCUCUGCCAGCUAUCAUCUGAAGGAAAAUUACCAACAAUUGCAAAUUAUUACCAGAUGCACACAGAUAAAAGUGAUCCCUUUAAAAAAAGUAAUCAGAUAAUUGUGAUGGAGGAUUCAGCCACUCUUUGAAAGUAUGGAGAGAUAGUGGUCGAUCCUCAUAUCAAGGUAUUGCUCAACCACCAGGAAACUGGCUUAAGUCAAGGAAACCUGCCUGGUCAGGUUGGCUUCAUCUUUCAUCAAGCUGUCUGGAUGCUUCGUCUGUGAGGGGUCUGGCCUGCAGCAACUGUGUCUAACAAGAGUUGAGGACGAUGACCAGUGAUCCCCAUGUUCAAUGAUUGAGGUUGACAGGCCCUGUGGAUGAGGGCCGGUGAACCUUCAGUUUGGUGAGUCCCCCCCAAGUUGUAGGUAGGGGGCACAAAGCUUGUGACCCCCGGGCUGGCAUGUCCUGGGGUUGACACCAAAGGUCAAAGUCUGAAGUUGGCAAAUCUGGAAAUUGAGGUCCUUGGUCAAAGUCCUUGGGUCAGCAUGUCCAGAAGUGAGAGGCCUGAUACCUACGAGUCUGGGCCAGGGACUAGAGUUUGGAGGCCUAGGGGCAGCCUGUCCUAGGGUUAGAGGUUAUCUUUUUGUCUGAGGGGGUGGGAAAGGAGUUUGUUUUGCUGUUGUUGCUUGUUUUGUUGUUUUUGCUUGUGUUGUUCUGCUGAACCUUGUGGGCAUGCAAUGUUGGCACCACAGUGUGUUGCAACACUUGUGAGCUGUCCUCAGCUUAGCUUGAGUUUGUGUUGAUUGUUAAUGCAGAUUACACUUUUCACUAUAUGUUUCCAUGGACAUGUGACAAAUAAAUCUGAAUCUGAGUUUGGUCAAAAAUAUGAUCUUGAGUGGGGCUCUGCUUGGACAUCCUCUUCUUUCUUUUGGAUGAGGUACCUUGGAUGUUGAACUUUCAAACACUGUUGCUACUUCGCUGCUCAGUGAAUGGAUUGUACUUGCCCUGGCUGGGCAAACAGGAGUGGUGGGGUACACUAAGUUGACCUAUUCUCACGGACACUCUAGGUCACCCAUGUUUUGAAACCUCUACAUCAUGGAGGCACUGAAGCAACCAGCUACCAGAUCAAGGAGAGACUAUCUGAGAUAUUAAUUGCGGGGAAGUGGGAGCAGUGAGCAAAUGGAUGUGGAAUUAGAAUAGCUCAGUUCUAUAAUUGUUCAGAGAGAGAGGAGGCAGUGGAAUUAACCAGGCAGGCAUUCAAAGUGUGUGGGGAGAGGAGGAAGAAGGUGAUCAGAUUGGGUGUGACAUUAAGCCAUAUAGAAUAUGAAAUGAUUGGGGUUUAAGACCAUAAGACAUAUAGGAGAAGAAUAAGGCCGUUUAGCUCAAUGAGUCAUUUGCCAUUCCAUCAUUGGUGAUUUAUUAUCUAUCUCAACCCCAUUCUUCUGCCUUCUUCCCAUAACCUUUAGCACCCUUACUAAUCAAAAACCUAUCAACCUCCACUUUAAAUAUACCCAAAUGACUUGCAAUGAAUUCCACAGAUUCACCACCCUCUAGCUAAAGAAAUUCCUUCUUAUCUCAGUCCUAAAAGGACAUCUUUCUAUUCUGAGGCUGUGUCUUCUGAUCCUAGACUCUCCCAGUAUUGGAAUUAUCCACUUUACAUCCACUUUAUCCGGCUUUUCAAUAUGCAGUGGAUUUCAAUAGGAUUUCCACCUUAUUCUCUUAAACUCCAGCAAGUACAGACUCAGAGCCAUCAAAUGCUUCACAUAUGUUAACCUUUUAAUUCCCAGGAUCAUUCUCGUGAAACUCCUCCAGACCCUCUCUAAUGCCAACACAUCCUUUCUUAGAUUUGGAAUUUGAGGGGAGAGUGGGAUACUAUAGGGUUCUGGAAGUAAGGGAAGCAGAGGAGAAUGUGGCUUUUCAUGUUGUGAGGUACACUGGUAAAUAGCAAAUUUUUGUUUAAUUUCAUGUAUCAAAUUACA